AAACCGUUUGGUUUAGGGUUAAGAAAAAAUUAGUUAUUCCAGAGAUAGGGUUGAGUUUAGGAUUAAGGUGGGGUUAGAGUAUUUUUGUGUUUGGUUGAAGGUUGAAGUUAGUGAAAAAAAGUGUUUGGUUGGAAUAGGUGGGAUAAGAAGAAUAGUGAGUUAUUAUGAAUAAAAAAUAGUGUUUGGUUGGGGUUUGGUGGGAUUAGGUGAGAUUAGCUAAUCCGGGAUAACCCAUUUGAGGUGGGGUUAACUAACCCCACCAAUUUUUAGAAGUGUUUGGGGAUAAAAUGGGGGUUAAGGGGUGGAGGGGUUAAGGGGUGGAAUAACCCCUUAACCCCCAACCAAACGAAGGCGUGUCUGCCCUGUGGUGACCAAGAAAGAAAGAAAGCUAUACCCAAAACAAGUGGAAUGGAUCCUAGUAUUUAGAGUCUAUGGGCAUGUUUGGUUCGCUCAUUUGUCACUCUGGAAUUGGAAUCGUAAUUGACGAAUCCAUUUAUCCGUAUCUGGUCUGCGAGAUUUUCGUUCCAAUUUUGAUUUUUGCGAGUGAAUGAGAAUCCCCCAAAGUACCUCUUUUUCCAAUCCGGCCUAAGAGGCCGGAUUGGAAAUUGAAUCCAGAUAGAAUAGAUUUGUUUGGAUUAUAUUUAAUUUUUAAGCUUAUUUUUUUAAUUAAAAUAUAACUUUAAGUUUAAAAAUUAUAUUUAUAAAUUUUAAUUUUAAUUUGAACUUAAAUUAAAAAUUAAAAUUCAAUCAAGCAUUUCUAAUCUAAUUUAUAUAUUUGAAUUCGAAUUAAAAUCUAAAGUUUUAUUCAAAUUUUAUUUAAAAUUUAAAUUAAAUUUAUCGAUUCAAAUUAAAAUUAAAAAUUAUAAUUUUAAGUUUGAAUUUGAAUAAAUCAAAAUUUAGUUUUAUAUACUGAAUUAUCCGUUCAAUUUCAAAUUUUAAUUUUUUUGAAAAAAAAAAUAUAUUUAAAAUUUUGACAUUAUUUUAAAAUUUUGACGUAAUUUUUUAAUAUUUAAUUUUCAGUUUGAAUUAAACCAACAUAUUAUAAAGAUAAAACUGACAUAUUAAUUUGGUUACGUUUCUGAUAUCUGUCUGAACCAAACACCGACAGUGAAAAUUGUUCAUUCCGCUUCCGAUUCAGAUGACGAGCUAAACAGAAUGAGAUAAUGAAUCAUUCUGAUUCCGUUUCUAAUUUAUUCUCAUUCCAAUUUCGAUACCGGUUCUAACUUCAAACAAAACACACCCUAUUUGGUUUCACUUUUAUUUCUAUUUUUAACCAUAAUUAUUUUUAGUAAAAGUUUUACAGUUUUUUUAUAAUGGGAAUGAAAAUAAGAUUCGGAGACCUAGAAAUAGAUUAUUGAAUUUCAUAUUUCUAAUUCUGCUUUGGAAAAAAAAAAAAAAAACUAUUGGAUGAACUUUAGUAUGAUAUUUUUUUAAAAGGAGUAAUUGCUUAUAUAUCUGGAAAGUUUUCGACUUUUUUAUUUAUCCCUUUAGAAGGCUAAUAUUAACCCUGUUAAGGUUCCUAGUUAUUUCAGAUAUACUUCUAGAGUUAAUUUUCAAUUUUUCAUUAAUAAACAGUUAGGAACCGCCGUUACUUUUAUGAAAUUAUUAUUUUGCUCUUUUAAAUAUACUCUUCUGUCGUCACAUACUUUUUUUUUAUUUUCCCUUAAAGUUAGGGGCAAAUAAGUAUUUUGACUUUUGACUUUUGACUUUUUAUUAAAUGUACAUUCUAUCGUCACCAACUAUUUCUUAUUUGUUCUUAAGUUAGAAACAAAAGAGCUAUUUUUAACCUUUUUUAAUUUUAUAAAAAUAUAACCGAUAUUUAACCAAAGAUAACUUAAUGGGUAUCAACAGCAGGUUUAUUUUUGAAUAAUAGAAAAAUAUAAGAUGAGUAUAAUAUAUAAGCUAUUUUAGAAGUUUUGAGAGCUAUAUUAGAUAUUAUUCCUUUUCUAAAAAAACACCACUUAAAUAGCACUCUUUCCCCUAAACAU
rnacentral:lncRNA from 1 species